AAGUAUUGCAGGAAACAGGAGGUAUCCGAUCAACCCCAUUUCUCGCUGGAAAGUAGCAACACGGCAAUCACAUUAAUUAAAAAAUAGAGCAGACGAUGUUCCCUGAAGUUACAGCAUAAGAAAUUAGCAUUUCGCAUCAACUUGUGAGUUUGUAACAUGCCACCUGUGACAGGAGGUGCCUUUGCUGUUGCCCUAGGGGUCUUUGAGCUAG